rnacentral:rRNA from 1 species
UACAGAGGGUGCAAGCGUUAAUCGGAAUUACUGGGCGUAAAGUGUGCGCAGGCGGCCGAGCAAGUCGAGUGUGAAAGCCCCGAGCUUAACUUGGGAACUGCGCUCGAAACUACUUGGCUAGAGUGUGGCAGAGGGAGGUGGAAUUCCACGUGUAGCGGUGAAAUGCGUAGAGAUGUGGAGGAACACCGAUGGCGAAGGCAGCCUCCUGGGCCAACACUGACGCUCAUGCACGAAAGCGUGGGGAGCAAACAGG